rnacentral:rRNA from 1 species
AUUGAACGCUGGCGGCAGGCCUAACACAUGCAAGUCGAGCGAGCGGCGGACGGGUGAGUAAUGUCUGGGAAACUGCCUGAUGGAGGGGGAUAACUACUGGAAACGGUAGCUAAUACCGCAUACCAUCAGAUGUGCCCCGAUGGGAUUAGCUAGUAGGUGGGUUAAUGGCUCACCUAGGCGACGAUCCCUAGCUGGUCUGAGAGGAUGACCAGCCACACUGGAACUGAGACACGGUCAAGACGCCUACGGGAGGCAGCAGGGGGGAAUAUUGCAAAAUGGGCGAAAGCCUGAUGCAGCCAGGCCGCGUGUAUGAAGAAGGCCGUCGGGUUGUAAAGUACUUUCAGCGAGGAGGCGUUACUCGCAGAAGAAGCACCGGCUAACGCCGUGCCAGCAGCCGCGGUAAUUC